rnacentral:rRNA from 1 species
ACCCGUUGAUCCUGCGGGAGAUUGCUGCUAUUCGGAUUCGACUUAGCCAUGCAAGUCGAGGGGUUCUUCGGAACACCGGCAAAAUGCUCAGUAACACGUUACUAACCUACCCACAAGUCGAGGAUAGCCUUGGGAAACUGAGGGUAAUACUUGAUAGGACAUACAAUCUGGAAUGAUGCAUGUCCCAAAGCUUUAGCGCUUAUGGAUGGGGUAGCGGCUGAUUAGGUUGUUGGUAGGGUAAUGGCCUACCAAGCCUUUGAUCAGUAGGGGCCAUGAAAGUGGUAGCCCCGAGAAGGACACUGAGAUACUGGUCCUAGCCCUACGGGGUGCAGCAGGCGCGAAACCUCUACAAUGCACGAAAGUGUGAUAGGGGAAUCCGAAGUGCUCAUGGUUUCCAUGGGCUUUUCUUAAGAGUAAAUAUCUUGGGGAAUAAGUGGUGGGCAAGACUGGUGCCAGCAGCCGCGGUAACACCAGCGCCACAAGUGGCAAUCGCAUAUUAGGCCUAAAGCGUUCGUAGUUGGUUUGGUAAAUCUUUUGUGAAAUUGUUUUGCUUAACAAAACAUCGUGCAGGAGACACUACUUUACUUGGAACCGGGAGGAGUCAGAAGUAUUUCGAGGGGAGCGGUAAAAUGUGAUAAUCCUCGAAGGACUACCUGUGGCGAAGGCGUCUGACUAGAACGGAUUCGACAAUGAGGAACGAAGGCUAGGGGAGCAAAACGGAUUAGAUACCCGAGUAGUCCUAGCAGUAAACGUUGCGAGCCAGGUGUUGUGCAUUCCUUUGGAAUGUGCAGUAUCGAAGAGAAGUCGUUAAGCUCGCCGCCUGGGAAGUACGGUCGCAAGGCUGAAACUUAAAGGAAUUGGCGGGGGAGCACUACAACGGGUGCGGCGUGCGGUUUAAUCUAAUUCCACACAGAAAAUCUCACCAGAAGCGACGGCCGGAUGAUGAUCGGGUUAAAGACUCUAUCGGACAAGCCGAGAGGUAGUGCAUGGCCGCCGUCAGCUCGUGCCGUAAGGUGUCCAGUUAAGUCUGGCAACGAGCGAGACCUACAUCUACAAUUGGCAGCAGCAGAACUUCUGGACUGGCCACAUUGUAGAGACUGCCUGUGAAAACAGGAGGAAGGCGUAGGCAACGGUAGGUCUGUAUGCUCCGAAUCUUCUGGGCUACACGCGCGCAACAAUGAUUAAGACAAUGGGCUGCUACUCCGAAAGGAGGCGCUAAUCCUCUAAACUUAAUCUUAGUACAGAUCGAGGGUUGGAAUUCACCCUCGUGACGCUGGAAUCCGUAGUAAUCAGAGUUCAUCAAACUCCGGUGAAUACGUCCCUGCUCCUUGCACACACCGCCCGUCAAACCACUCGAGUAGAGUAUAAGUGAGCAUCAGC